AUUGAACGCUGGCGGCAGGCUUAACACAUGCAAGUCGAACGAUUUGCGGACGGGUGAGUCAUGCUUGGGAAUCUUGCUUAUGGACGGGGAUCACUACGGGAAACUGUAGCCAAUACCUCGUUCCAUCGUAUGAUCCCAGGUGGGAUUAGGUAGUUGGUGAGGUAAAGGCUCACCACGCCGACGAUCUCUAGCUGGUCUGAGAGGAUGACCAGCCACACUGGGACUGUGACACGGCCCAGACUCCUACGGGAGGCAGCAGUGGGGAAUAUUGCGCAAUGGGGGCAACCUGACGCAGCCAUGCCGCGUGAAUGAAGAAGGCCUUCGGGUUGUAAAGUUCUUUCGGUAGCGAGGCGUUAACUACAGAAGAAGCACCGGCUAACUCCGUGCCAGCAGCCGCGGUAAUAC
rnacentral:rRNA from 1 species